rnacentral:piRNA from 1 species
UGUAAGCUCAACUGGCCAGUCAUCCAGGUC